rnacentral:rRNA from 1 species
UACGAAGGGGGCUAGCGUUGCUCGGAAUUACUGGGCGUAAAGCGCACGUAGGCGGUUUCUUAAGUCGGUGGUGAAAUCCUGGAGCUCAACUCCAGAACUGCCUUCGAUACUGGAAGACUUGAGUCCGGGAGAGGUGAGUGGAACUGCGAGUGUAGAGGUGAAAUUCGUAGAUAUUCGCAAGAACACCAGUGGCGAAGGCGGCUCACUGGCCCGGUACUGACGCUGAGGUGCGAAAGCGUGGGGAGCAAACAGG